CAUCAUAUACAAUAGGCAGAUAAACUUUCACAUAAAAGUGAACUCAUGUGACAUAGAUAUAUCGUAUGAUUUCACAUCACCUCGCACACUGAUCCGAUGUCACAUAAUCAUAGGAAUAGUCUCAUAGAUUGCUUUCGUAUGCAUCACAUAACUACCUUAUGAUUUAGUGCAAAUCAAGCUCACAUAUAAACUUGAAGUACAUACCUGUUUAACCUUUCGCAUUGAAUAUAUUUAUAAGCA
rnacentral:lncRNA from 1 species